AGUGAACGCUGGCGGCGUGCCUAAUACAUGCAAGUCGAACGAAGUGGCGCACGGGCGAGUAAUAUAUAGUUACUAUGCCCCCCACAGACGGACAACAGUUGGAAACGACUGCUAAUAACACAUAGUGUAGGAUGAGACUAGAACGUAUCAGCUAGUUGGUAAGGUAAUGGGUUACCAAGGUUAUGACGAGUAACUGGUCUGAGAGGAUGAUCAGUCACAUUGGACGUGAGACACGGUCCAAGUACCUACGGGCGGGAGGGGUAAGGAAGAUUGCGCGAUGGGGGAGUCCCAGACAGAGCAGCGCGGCGUGGAGGAUGAGUGUUUGCGGAGAAAAAGCACCUUUUAACAGGAAAGCGGUACCUGAUGAAUAAGCACCGGCUAACUCCGUGCCAGCCGCCGCGGUAAUAC
rnacentral:rRNA from 1 species